rnacentral:rRNA from 1 species
GAGUUUGAUCGUGGCUCAGAACGAACGCUGGCGGCAUGCCUAACACAUGCAAGUCGAACGAAGGCUUCGGCCUUAGUGGCGCACGGGUGCGUAACGCGUGGGAAUCUGCCCUUGGGUUCGGAAUAACUCAGAGAAAUUUGAGCUAAUACCGGAUGAUGACGUAAGUCCAAAGAUUUAUCGCCCAAGGAUGAGCCCGCGUAGGAUUAGCUAGUUGGUAGGGGUAAACGGCCCACCAAGGCGACGAUCCUUAGCUGGUCUGAGAGGAUGAUCAGCCACACGUGGGACUGAGACACCGGCCCAGA